AUGUAAUGAGAACACAAGCUUGUGGACAGCGGGUCAACAGUGACAAACAGGAUUCUUGGAGAAUGGGGAGAGCUCAGUUCAGUUGCCAGAGUUGACAUGCAGUGUGUUUCCCAUGAUUGGUGUGGUUCUCAGGAGCUUGCUUUAAAUAUGGGCAGUUUUAAAGGGUUGCUAUUUCUAUGCUAGUGCUUGUACCAUAAUCAUAUAAGGUGGUGAAACGGGUGUGGGCCUUAAGACCUUAAGGAAUUUAAGAUCCAAUUUUUUAAACUGUAAAAAUCUAAUGUUUUAUACCUUUAAGAUUUGAUCUUUUAAGAUGCUUGAGUUAAGUGAAACUGAUAAGAAACUGCUAAGUUAUUUCUCUAGCUUUUAAAAAUAUAUGGAGUGAUUUCUAUAAUUCCUCAGGAAGUAAGAGCUGUUCCUUUUGAGCUGAAGAACAUAUUGCAUUUCCUGUUUCAUUGCAGAGAUAUUUCCCUACUUGAAAAUGCUAUCCUCUUUUCAUCCACACAAAAAUUGUGAAACAGAGGGGGCUGGGGCCAGUAAGGAAGUUAUGAAGAAAUGUAAUUUCACAUUAGAUGGGCUGGAAGCCAAUAGCUUAAUUUUAAUAUGACCAAGUGGUUUGUUAUUUAUAUCUGUUUUAAAAUAAUAACUAAAUAUAGCCUUUAGAAAUAGGUGAUUUAAAGCAUAUUUAUGUAUUGCAUACAUAGUUAAUAAUGUAUAAUUACCAAACAGCUUUUUGAAAUGUAUCAUUAUACAUACACAUUUCCAGAAAAUUAGUGUUCUAUGAAUUUUCUGUAUUUCAUUAUAUGUAAGGUAUUCUCUAAUUAUUGAAAAAUAAGCAUGACUUUUCUAUUUUUAACACCCUCUCAGUUUCUUUUUUGAUAAAAACACAUUUGUAUUUCUUUUAUUACAUAUAGAAGUAAAGAUAAAUAUUUGGGAUAAAUGUGGAAGGGACGGAAAUAAACAAAUGUCUUUUAAAUAACUUGCAGUCCUAUUUUUAGUCAGAAUAAAAACCAAACACUCAUGAAGAAAUUAGAGGUAUUUAAAACAAAUAAUAAAUUAUUGGAAAUCGAAUUGAGGGAUUCUGACUUCAAGUACGGUAUGGACUCAGUUUCAAGGAGGAAGUGAAAUUGAAUCUGUACUUUGAAGGAUAAGUGGCUUAACAUCAAGGAGGUAGAGGGCACUUCAGGUGGCAGAGGAAAACAAAAAGCCUAAAGGGCAAUGGAACAAGAACGAGGAAGGCACAUGGUGAGGACAGCGGAGAGAGGGAUCAGACUGGAGAAGACAGCAUUUGUUGGGACUAAGGAGGAUAGUGGGAAGUAAGAUUUUCCAGAGAAUGUACUGUGGUCAUGAAGACCCUAAAAGCCAAGGAAGAGAGCCUGGAUGCAGCGUAAUAAGCAACAGGGAGACGUUGAUAUUGAGUAGUUUCUUAAGUAUCAAUAUUUGCAUAGAAAUUAGUAGUAUUUUUUCUAAUACUUAAUAGAACCUAAAAUUAAACCUCUAUUCUUGUUUUCAUCAACUUAGAAGUUUCAUUUCGAAUGAAAGUUUCCCCUUUAUUAUUUAAAGGAUUGAAAUAAAACCCUAAUCUAGAACAUAUGGAAAAACAUCUCUGAAUAUACCAUAGAAGAAAUUACUCUUGGAAUAAUUGCAGUUAUGAAUUUAAUAGGGUAGAAGGAUUGCAUUGCAUUGUUCUAGAAAGCUAACCAAGCGUUAAGUAUGCCAGUCUUUUAGUAAUAAGGAUGACAGUAUAGAGCACAGGAAAAAAACUGGCGAGUACCCACAAGCGUGGUAUUUGUGGCUGUGGAUGGGGUUAUUGGGAGUCACUGCUGUACCAUGGGGAGCCGGGAGCAGAAGUCCGACGAGAACUUACUAGCUCUUCUCCACACUCAGAAACAGGUAACACACAAUGCAGAACACUAGGUUGCAUGUCAAGUGCCUUCUGACUCACCCCUUACUAUGGAGAAUAGUGAUAAAUAAUGCACAUUUCUAUUUUAUAGUCCUUUAGGAUUUUUUUCAAGAACAUUUGCUUCAUUUCACUCUAUCUCCUUAGUCUUUCAUCUCUAAUCUGAAGAAAGCAGGAUAGACAAAACUUGCUUAGCAUAAAGUUAAUGAUUAGCAGAAGAACCAGGAUUCAACUUGAGCUUAUUCUGAUUUCGAACCUGGAAUUUGACUUUGUAACAAGCACCUUAUGUAACAAGCAUCUUAUGCACAUUGCUUUGGUUUUCUGUGUCUACAUAAACCAAUAAGGUAAUUUUAGUGUCCUCGCCGAAGAGGAAACUCUGUGAUAAAAAUUGGAACUGAAACUAAACACAAGUUUUGAUGAAAGAUUGCUUUGACAAGAUUUAUUGUUGUUACUUGGACUUCAAGCACGCCACAUUUUGUACAGAGAAGAUAUUCUGUAUGAAUAACUCAGUGAUUAUUAUAAUGUUGAAAAAUAGUUCUCUCAACAAUAAGCUCCUCAUUUUAAAUAAUAAGAGAAAGCAUAUUGAUUCAAAUGACCAAGAAAAAGUAUCCCAAUAUCGUAAGAAAAAGUUUACUUUAUUGAUAACAAAAAUAUUAAUUUGCUUUCAGAAAUAUUUUCUGGCAAAAUAAGGGUCUGAAUAUAACCAUUUUAGUUAUUUAUUACAGUCUAGAGUCUAGAGUUCAGUUCACAUUUUCUGAAACAAAUUAAUAUGAAGACUUUGAAUUGAGCAGGAUUACUUUUGAAGGACUUUGGGAUAUGGUAAGGAAAAUUUUUUCUUGCUUCCUUUGUACUGUAAAGCAGUAAAUGUAAUUAUUUGACCUAUAAGUUAAAAAUAGUCUGGUUUAAAGUCAUGAGAAAAUGGUUUCUUCCUUGAAGUAGAGGAAUGCACUUCAGCAAUAAGCUUAUGAUAAUCUCUACUUUCAUGCUAUUUGGUGGAGCAAAUCAAUGCAUUGCCUAGUAAUUGGCUUCCAAUUAAUUCUGCAUUUAGUUUUGACACAGCACUCUUUGGGUACAAAGGGACAAGCUUAACUUUGAGCCUGUGAUUAUGGGGAUUAUGCUGUGCUAAGGGAAUUUUAAAAUUUGGAACUGACAUAACUGAUAUAAGCAAGGGACAUACCACUUAGGGCAAGCUGGGGAUAGGUGAGCGUGGGAUCAAAAUCACUGCAAAAGAGAAAGGAAACUGGUUUUGGAGAUUUAAAAUGGAAAUUGGCCCUACUGAAGGAUGGACCCAUCGACUGCCGGGACUUGAAGAAACGGUGCUAUAGAUUUGACCCUGUGGGUUUAUUGCAAAACCGAACAAAACCAAAACAAAA